rnacentral:rRNA from 1 species
UACAGAGACUGCAAGCGUUAUUCGGAUUCACUGGGCGUAACGGGUGCGCAGGUGGCCGAGUGUGUUAGGCGUGAAAGCCCGGGGCUUAACCGGGGAACUGCGUCUGAUACUGGGUGGCUUGAAUUCGGGAGAGGGAUGCGGAAUUCCAGGUGUAGCGGUGAAAUGCGUAGAUAUCUGGAGGAACACCGGUGGCGAAGGCGGCAUCCUGGACCGAGAUUGACGCUGAGGCGCGAAAGCCAGGGGAGCAAACGGG